GAAAAAUCAUGUCUCCGUUCAAUCGCUUUAUGUUACGUUUAGGCUGGGACACAAUCAGCUCCACUUCCUCAGGACUACUCUGUAAGAUGGCAGCAGCAUCACUGAAUGUUACCCCUUCCAAACUGGUCUUAUUUAGAGAAAUGAGACGCCCACCUGAGGUCCAUCUGGCACAAUGGAAGCAAUGAAUAUACCGAGGUCAAGUUUACCUGUAUUGUCCUCGCCUACAAUCACAAAGCCUGCAACGGGACCACAGUGAAAUCAAAGACAAAAUGUUGGCAUAAC